UUUUGAUGAAAUCUAGGCCGAGUUCGAAAAGGGAUCAUCUGGGGUCAAAAACUAGGUCACUAGGUCAAAUCAAAGAAAAACCUUGUGUAUGCAAUAGAGGCUGUAUUUUUCAACUGAUCUUCAUGAAUGUUAGUCAGAAUGAUUACCUUGAUGAAAUCUAGGCCGAGUUCGAAAAAGGGUCAACUGGGAUCAGAAACUAGGUCACUAGGUCAAAUCAAGGAAAAACCUUGUGUAUGCGAUAGAUGCUGUAUUUUUCAAUUAAUCUUCAUAAAUUUUGGUCAGGAUGAUUGCCUUGAUGAAAUCUAGGUCAAGUUCGAAUAUGGGUCAUCUGGGGUCAAAAAGUAGGUCACUAGGUCAAAUUAAAGGAAAAGCUUGUAUAUGCCAUAGAGGCUGUAUUUUUCAAUAGAUCUUCCUGAAAUUAAGUCAAAAUGAUAACUUUAAUGAAUUCUAGGCCGAGUUCGAAAAUGGGUCAUCUGGGGUCAAAAACUAGGUCACUAGGUCAAAUCAAGGAAAAAACUUGUGUAUGCGAUAGAGGCUGUAUUUUUCAAUUGAUCUUCAUGAAUCUUGGUCAGAAUGAUUGCUUUGAUGAAAUCUAGGCCGAGUUCGAAAAUGGGUCAUCUGGGGUCAAAAACUAGGUCAUAUCUAAGAAAAUACUUGUUUAAACUCAAGAGACCACAUUUUUAGUCCAAUCUUAAUGAAAAUUGACCUAAAUAUUUGUUUUCAUGAAAUCAGUAGGUUAAACAUGUUUACACUGUUAUAGUGUGUUUCGCAGGUGAGCGACCUAGGGCCAUCUUGGCCCUCUUGUUUAUAAAUUUUGUGUAAUUUAUGGUAUUUCCUCAAGCUCAAGUAGAGACAUAUUUCAAGUUGGCGGCCUGUAUCCAAAAUGUUUGCAGAGAUUUCAUUAUACAAUUAUUUUUUAUGAAAGAAUCAUCAAACUAUUGGUAAACAAUUAUAAAACUAAAAAACAUAAGUGUCAGUAUCAUUUUUUCUAGGGUGCCUCAAGUAAUCAGAUUUAAUUUUACAGAAUUCUAUCUCCAACAUUAAAAAACUGAGGUCGAAUCCUACGGGUCUGUUUUCAAUUUUGCUCACUUCAUCCAAAAAUAACUGCUGGGCAGAAGUAAAUCUUACCUGAAUUUCUUCCACAAUAUGUAAUCUAAAGAAUGAAGGCAAAAUAGAGAACUUUUACCGCACAUAACUCAGUAUUUUUAAAGAUGUCUAACUCUACCCCUUCUAUUUCAGAGGUAAAUUCACUUUGAACAGCAAGAAAUUGCUUAUCAAAUGAAUAUUUUCCAUUUUUGUACAAUAAAUCAAUAACAAGUCUUGAAAGAAGUAAAAACUUACCAGGAAAAAAAAAAGAAAAAUAAGGAAAAAAAUUUUGGUCCCAGUGGGGCUUGAACCUAUGCACCCCUGAAAAUCGCAGUCAGAGUAGGUUUAUGGUAGAAAUUGAAUACUCUUCAAAGAGGAGAUACUCUAUUAUGGGCCUAAUACCUUAACUUCGGUCUAUUGCACACAGAGUAUCUAUUCAAUGACUUUUUUGCCUGAAGUUAUAAACUGAAAGAGUUUAUUAAUUGUUAUGUUGAACCAAACAAUAUAUCUAAUGUCUUGAUUUAAUUUCAGAUGCUUGAAGAUGAAAUGAGAACGUUAGAGAUGUGCCUCAAGGCCACAGAAGGCUUGUGAGGCCAGAAUGAAGAGACCUUUUUGGAGGACAAAGGGAAGACAACUCUGGUGAAUAUUUUAGCUGGCAAAGAGACCAAAACUUCCAAAGAAAGGCUAUAUAAGUAUUGUCAGAGAAGAGAAGAAGUCAAGAAAGGUUUCAAUAUCUGGUUGUUGUGGCUGAAGUUAAUGUUUCUUGGAGCAGCCCUUAUCCACCUAGUCUUCAUUUACAUUUGAACUAUAUAUACAUGUAUAUACAGGAUUGGACGCAUGCAUAAAAGGAAGAAGUACUACAUUUCUGUGCCGAAGGAUUAGAAACUACUCCAGACUGGCAGCCUCGACAGAUGUGUUUUGGAAAUUUGAACAGUGACUGAAUACUUUACUUUGAUUGUGGCAAACAAGUUCAUUGUUGAUGAUAGUAGUGUUUUUGGGGGGUUUUUUUGGAAAGAUUGACUAGUACAGUGUUAAUCUCUAGAAUUGCAGAGCUGUCAGUGCUGUGAUUUUGUUGUUAAAUUCAAAAUCCAUGUCCAAAAGUGCUUGUUCUUCAAUUAAGGACAAAGAAGGAGAAAUUGUACUGGGCCAACACCAUAACACCAUAAGGAGACAGUCUUGUUUGAUUUAUUUGUCUGUGGAUGAAAAGGGACCACCUUGCAGAAUGAUGUUUCAAAUUAAUAUUCUUAUGGUGGAUUUUAAUUACAUUUGAAAGAAAUAUAUAUGUUACAAGAAACAUGCGUUAGUUAGAAAUUAUGUUGUUAGAUUUCAUGUUUGUCAUUUAAAAGUCAAAUUUGGUUGUUUACAAACAUUGGUGCACAUAAACUGACAAGAUAAAAUGCAUUUAUAUAUUCAGUAUUAUACAGGUUGUCAACCAGUUUGUUUUUUUGUGUUUUCUUUUUCCGUGUUUUAAAGAUUGUAUUUUUGGAAAUCUACAUCCUUAUUUUUUCUGCAUUUUGAAUUAUAUCAAAUAAAUGUCACAUGUUCUUUGAAAAUUAAAAGAUGUGUUCAUUUCUAAAAUUUUCAUUGUUCUGUUGCUGACUUGGCUAAAAUAUUGACAAUGAGUAGCUGCAAGAAGUUUUAUAAAUGCCACUUUUAAAGAUUUGAAAAUAUGAACAAUUUCAUAGUAUCAAUGUAAAGAUACAAUUAACAUGUUUGUGUGUAUAAAGAGAACUUUGUUAGGUAUAAAAUAGUACACACAAAAUAUGUGCAUAGCUAAGUGUAGUAUAAAUGUGUACUCCCUCUGCAAAAGUGGAAGUUUUUGUACCCCUGUUUUGGAAAAACUGGACAUUUUAUGUGAUGGCUGUUUGCCUCCGUCUGUCUGUCUGUCUGUCCAUCCAUCCAUCCAUAAUUUGUGCCUGGAUCAUAACUUAAAAAGUAUUUACUGACUUAAAACUUGACAUUUAGGUAGGUUGCAAUGAGAUGAUAAGCUGAGUGCAAAAGGGUUUGUAGAUCAAAGGUCAAGGCCACAAAUUGAGGUCGAAGGUCAAAUCUGACAUGCUAUUUUAUGUCUGGAGUUUAUCUUUAAAAGCAUUCAAGGUAUUGAUUUUAAACUUUGCAUUUAAGUUGGUGGUGAUCAGACAAAAUGUGCAGAGCUCAAGAUCUGGGCCAAAAGGUCUGAGGUCAUGGUCACAGAUUGAGCUCAGAGGUCAAAUCUGACUUCUAUUUCAUGUUUUACUGGAGAAUGACUGGGUCUGCAGCUGAAUUACUAUAUAAGGUGGUUGUUGUCAGAACAUGACCACUAUUGGUCUUACACUUAAUGAGAUUAUUGCCCUUUUGAUUGAGGUUUAGUAGGUCAAAGGUCAAGGUCAUAUUGGCUUUAAGGCUAAAACAGUUGCCUAUAAUUAUAAAAUGAUAUCUUGUGAUUAUAGAGGAUUUGUAACUUUUUGGUCAGUAUGCCAAACGCUAAGGUCAUAACAUAACUUGAGGCUGAAAAUAAUCCACCCAGUUACCCAGACAGGCCAUUAUUACAUACUCGUUUCUAUUCCCCAUUAAGUUACACUGGUACUGGAAACGUCAAUAUUUUUCCAUACACUGACGCCUGAAUUUCAUACCGGGUGCGUGACGUAAUUCAGUGCGUGUUGUUGCACUAUUUUUUCUAUUUCGUUCAGUAUUGUCAAUCCUAUUCAGGCUAUUGAACAAAAUUUUGAAAUUUACAUUAUAUCUAUAUGUGUAGAUGCGUAUGUAAUAAAAAGGUUAUUAUCUUUGCAUCGGGAAAUAUGCACUUGUUCUUCAGCGGAAGAAGAUGGCGCUCCUAAAGUUGCGCAAUAUUUUCGCUGAAGAACUCGUUCAUAUUUCCCGAUACAAAGCUAAUAACCUAUAAUUAUUGGGGGCAUGUGUGGUUUUCAAACAACUCUGUUUAUAUGUCAUUGACAACUUGUGAGAAAGUUUUACAUUUCUUGUUUGUCUAUCAGUUAGCAUUACAGUAGAUUUCAAGGCAUUGUGGCAAAUUCUGUGUGAGAGUUAUAUGCUAGUAGAUUGUGAGGGCAUAAAUUUGGUAGCAUUUCAGUAAAAGUUGUUAAGUUUAAUUUGAGCUAUUAUGAUUAUGGGUCAUGCUUACAUUUUAAAGCCUUCUUAAGCAAUAUAGCAUUUAUUUCAAGAUAUCUAAAAAAAGAAAAAACAUUUUUGUUGUCAAACGAUCUGGAGGCAUGCUGCUUUAAGGUACACACUGAAAUUGGAGAUAGACUUUCACAAUCAGAUUCAUAUAAAACUUCAUGAACUUCAUGAACAAUUAAAGAGAAAAAAUGCAAAGAGCCCAGUAGUUCAGUUUGUACAGCAUUAUAAUUUGAGGCCUGGGUUAGAGUCUCAGUUUGGCUGCACAUUUUUCUAUGUAACACCAGCGUUGUUAACAGUUGCAUUGCAUACAAGAAGCUUGAUAUACAAUACCAGCCAAAUUUGUGUAUGUUAGCAGUACCAUAACCUGUAUUGAACCAAAUAAAGCAAUUUAGAAGAAAUCAAAUAAAAAACAAAAUAAUAGACAUACUAAUAAAUUUUGAUAAUGUGGCGGUUGAUCUCAAUACAAUCGACACUGUUUAUUUGCCAAUACAGGUAAAUCCAGUAUUAAAUUUUGCUUUAGGCCUACAAUAGAUCUAAGACAGAUUAUCUUUGAACACCCCUGGACUUAUUGGACUCAACUGCCAAAUUAUCAAAGUUUAUUAGUACAUGGAAAAAGUCAUUAUCACUACUAAAGUAUUGUAGUUUAUUGAUAAAGUUUGAAUUGUUACCAUAUUCCAGUGGUUAAUAUUCAGAUCACUAGACUACAGCUGCAGGUUUGAGGCAUAGAGUGAAUAGAAUGGUGUUGGUUUUAUUUAUUUUAUUUUAUUUUGUUGGGUUUAACGUUGCAUCGACACAAUUAUAAGUCAUAUGGCGACAUUCCAGCUUUGAUGGUGGAGGAAGACCCCAGGUGCCCCUUCGUGCAUUAUUUCAUGACAAGCGGGCACCUGGGUAGAACCACCAACCAUCUGUAAGUCAGCUGGAUGGCUUCCUCACAUGAAGAAUUCAAUGCCCCAAGUGAGGCUCAAACCCACAUCGAUGACGGUGGUUUUAUUUAGUUGCCUGUCCAAAUUGGAAAGUCACCAUCUAACCUAGAUUGUGUCGGAUUGACUUCAAACACAUGGAUCCAUCUUGUUGAUUUUAAUGCAAGGUGAAAUAUAGGCUUUCAAAGUAGGAGAUAGGAAUCUGUAAAUAAGGACAUCACUCUUUAUAUAGCUUGUCCCCAGAAGAAAAACAAGAUUUUCUCUUCUAUUUACUGAGAUACAAAGCUGUUCUGCAAGAUCUGAGGACACUGAAGGCAUAUUCUCUUUCUGUCCACAGAAGCCGUGUGGGCUUUUCUCUCUAUAGAGAUACUAAGCAGUGCUACAAGGUGUGGGGACACUGAGAUAAUAUUCUCUUUCUGUCCCCAGAAGCUGUGCGUGUGUUUCUCUCUAUGGAGAUAACUUAGAAGUGCUACACGGUGUGCGGACACUAACAUAUAUUCUCUUUAUGUCCCCAGAAGCUGUGCAAGAUUCUCUGUCUUUAUUGAGAUAAUGUGGGUCCUCGGAAGGUUCGAGGACAAUUGAGAGACAGUAUGUUUUACUAUGACCCCACAAGUCGUGUUCUUUGAGGAUCUUUCUCUUGUCCCCAGAAAUACUAGAAACUGUUCUCUCCAAUGUAAUGAGACAACAGUAGGUCCUUGCAAUGAAUGGGGACAAUAUGAGAGAAAGUGUACCAAAGUCCACACCAGGAUUUCUGUAUUUCUUUUAAUCAGCUCAUCAAUGGAGAGAGUUGUUUAAAGAUAUCCAAUGGCCAUUCUGUCAGUGAAAUAUUUUAUCUUUAGAUAUCUUCUUCUAAUGUAUAAAAUCCUGAUCAAAUGUAUUUAACUUUACUAAAUAUAUAAAUUAAUUUUCCAUAUAGAGCUACUGGUAUAUCCAUAAUCAAAUGUCGUGCAGUAACAGUUGACUGUUAAAAAAGCAGCCAGCUUUUUAAGUGGUAGUACACAUUUAUACUAUAUUCAUAUGAAGAACGUACUGUUUUAAACCAAAUGCAUAGCGCUGUUAAUACAUAUAGAUGUGUCAAUAUUAUGUUUACUUAAACUAUAUGAAGUAAUUGUUAAUGUUUUAAUAUGAAACUUGGAUCUAAUAUACCUGUAAUAAGGACCUGUUGAAUAUGGAAACCAUUUCCUUUUCUAAAUUUUUAUAUGCCCCUAGUCAAUGGGUUUACAGCAAAUUCAUUUUAUCACAGUGCAAUCAAGGACUGGAAUAUGUUACCAGCUGACAGAAAAUCAGCAAAGUCCAAAGCUACUUUUAAAGGAACAUCUAUUAACUAUGGUGGCUGAUUUCUGCCAGUGUGGCGCCUCCGCCAUAACGAAAGAACGACGUUUUCCUCUUGGCAUUGUGUCGUUCUGGCGCCCCCCGCCAUAACGAAAGAACAACGUUUUCCUCUUUUGGCGUUGUUUCGUUCCCUCGUUCUGGCGCCCCCGCCAAAACGAUAUAACGAAGAAUGCAACGCGACAGAACGAAAGAACGACACUUAUAAACGGCGCCCUAAAAAACGUCGUCUUGGCGUUCUUUUGUUCUGGCGCCCCCGCCACAACGACAGAACGAAACAACGCCAAAUGUGAAAAUAUCGUUCUGGCGCAUUCCGGCAUAUAUAUAUACAUAUAUAUAUAUUUUUUUAAAGAUUUUCACAGAAUUAUGGCCCCUUUUCGACUUAGAAUAUGCUUAUCAUAAUGUUAAGUUUUACUCAUAGCUUAUAUUAUACUAUCAAGCACUGAGAAUAGUCGAGCGCACUGUCAACUGACAGCUCUUGUAUAUAUAUAUAUAUAUAUACAUUUUUUUAAAAAAAAUUUAAGAAUAAAAUAUGGUGUUUUUAUGAAAUAAGUGUUUAGUAUUUGUGUUACCAUGUCAGUUCGUGUAGAAAGUUAUUAAACCCUUAGUUUCUGCAUAUGUUUGUAUCAUAGUGUAAUUGAUUUGAUUUUGUAAGACUUAUAUAAUAUGCUAAUGACACAAACACCUAAAUUGUAAUGUCACUCGUAAGAUCAUGACAUGUUAACAUCUUUGUAUUCAAAAUAGGUAUAGAAUAUAUUAACCACUAUAUGAUAUGUAUUAUGACAACGUCAGAUCUUUGUCUUGUGAUUUCAUUAUCACUUUUAUAACAUCAUGUGACACAGUUUUGCUAAAGCAGUUAGUGACUUAAGAUCUAAAUGUGACAGUAUGGACCCCGUUGGAGAUAAGUUUUUGCAUGUAAAUGCCGAAGCUUUUCAGGCAAUCCUGUGCACAGUCUGCUAUUUAUAAUUAUAUAUACUAUAUAUUUUAUAUACUGAAAUAAGUAUUAUAAUUAUCAGUGAUAUCGGAUAUCAUUCACAUUUUGUUUCAGUCACUAUAUUAUCAGAACAACAAUAACAUCCUGUGAUAAAUUAUUAAUAUCAUUAUUAUGUGAAGGAUGACAUUUCUUUGUUACAACUAUGAUAUCUGAGAAAUACCAUGAUUAGGUAAUAUGCUAUAUAAUUUGUAUUGACAUGAAGUGCACAAA